CCGCCCCUUCCGGUUGGCCCCGCCUUUCUACUCCACUUCCACCUCUAUGUCUCGGUUCACCUAGAGCGCCGACAUACACUGAAAGAGGACUACGCCCACACCGUUUCCGGCAGGCCGAGAUGGGAUUUAUCUUCUGACCAAAUUAGGAAGAUAAAGAUUUAACACCCUCACUCCAGACUCCCACUUUUCCUACUUGCAUCCUCCAUGCAUGCAAUAUAUGCUGGAGUGCAGGAAAUCGAAUUGAAGGAGAGAGGAAUCGGCAUUUUCAGAAUGCAGCAGAGAUUUCAUGAAAAUUGGUCAUUGGGUUUGGCAAUAGGAAGGCCAUGUAAAGAGGAGUUUCAGGGGAGUAGAGCUGGAAACCAGAGUGCACCAUGGGUUAAAAUGUGAGAUGAUUGCCUGAGCAGGUGUAUUUGAAGAAGCAAAUUCAUACAAAGGGAGUUUCCUUCUGGCCUGAAAGAUUCUCAGGGACACUUCAGUGAUACAUCACACACAUAAAACUGUAUUUACUUAUUCUAAAAUCUCUUGCAAAUCUGAAAGAAAACAUUAUAAUUAUCUAGACAAUAAAGUAAAAAAAUGUGGAUACUUUUUCUAAGUUUGCUAGAAAUUUAUUCUGGGAAAGAGUUUGAGUUUUAU